UGAGGAAUCUUGCGCAAUGGGGGAAACCCUGACGCAGCAACGCCGCGUGAGUGAGGAAGGCCUUCGGGUCGUAAAGCUCUGUCGGGUGGAAAGAAACGCAUGGGUGCUAAUACCAUCUAUGCUUGACGGUACCGCCAAAGGAAGCACCGGCUAACUCCGUGCCAGCAGCCGCGGUAAUACGGGGGUGCAAGCGUUGUUCGGAAUCAUUGGGCGUAAAGAGCGUGUAGGCGGCUGGAUAAGUCGGAUGUGAAAGCCUUGGGCUCAACCCAGGAAGUGCAUUUGAUACUGUCCUGCUAGAGUAGGGAAGAGGGAAGUGGAAUUCCUGGUGUAGAGGUGAAAUUCGUAGAUAUCAGGAGGAACACCGGUGGCGAAGGCGACUUCCUGGUCCUAUACUGACGCUGAGACGCGAGAGCGUGGGGAGCAAACAG
rnacentral:rRNA from 1 species